ACGUAGGUGGCGAGCGUUGUCCGGGAAUAUUGGGCAUAAAGCGCGCGCAGGUGGUUAUACAAGUCUCAUUUAAAAGAGCUGAGCUCAACUCAGAGAUGGGUGAGAAACUGUAUGACUUGAGUGCAGGAGGGGUAUGCGGAAUUCCUAGUGUAGCGGUCAAAUGCGUAGAUAUUAGGAUGAUCACCAGUGGCGAAGGCGGCCUACUGGACUGCACCUGACACUGAGGCGCGAAAGCCAGGGUAUCAAACGG
rnacentral:rRNA from 1 species